GACAGAGGGUGCAAACGUUGUUCGGAAUUACUGGGCGUAAAGCGUGUGUAGGCGGUUCUCUAAGUCGGAUGUGAAAUCCCUGGGCUCAACCCAGGAAGUGCACUCGAAACUGGAGGGCUAGAGUAUCGGAGAGGUUGGUGGAAUUCUCGGUGUAGAGGUGAAAUUCGUAGAUAUUGGGAAGAACACCGGUGGCGAAGGCGGCGACCUGGUCCUUGACUGACGCUGAGGCGCGAAAGCGUGGGGAGCAAACAGG
rnacentral:rRNA from 1 species